CCAUCAGUUAAUCAUGCUUUUCAAACAGGUAAUCCAUUACAAAUUUUAAUGAAAGUUUUCCGUGACCCAGGAACAUGUUUUGAACAGGUAAUCCCUCCUACAUUUACUUAAGUGAAAAAAUAAAAUUACAAAACAUAUAACAGAAGUGCAGGCUAUUCAGGUGUAUUCAAAAUACUUAUCACAAAUGUAAUGAUAUUAUUGAUAACAAAGGCCUGUAUUGUUCAUUCUUCACUCUGUAGAAAGAGAAUCACCAAAUUGUGUUCCCUCUGAGCAAUUUGGCACAAAAACAUACAAUGUUUCUAAGUCACUUUGGUAGAUUCUUUCCUUUGACACUUUCAUCCUUCCUCUAUUUCCUCAAUUUUUUUUCUAAAACCUUUUUUUCCUCAGGUACUGCACAAAACACAGACAACUUUUUCUUAUUGGGAAGAACCCGCCCAUUCCCAAGAUCAUUUUCCUUUAUUAUCAACACAUUUCUUUGUCCAUUGAGUUUUGAGGAGGUUAUACACAAUAUAGACAAGUUGACCACAGAGAGGAGAAUUCGGAGGCAUUGGAAAUGGUUGAGAAGAGGAGGAGAGAUUAGAAUUGCCCUCCUGUGUGAGAAUUCUGGCCUACGUGCCUAUACGAUGGCAAGUGAAUCCAACACUAUAACAUCAUGGAAAGAAUUAGAAAGAAGUCUGCACCAGGACAAUAGGAUCUGGCAAUAGAUUAAAAAAAAGAAAAAAAAAAAAGAUAUUUGGAGAAGAAACAGAUGAGUGGAAGAAACAAUGGAGGAUCAAUAUAAGAGCCUAAUAAACGAACAAAAUAAAAAAAUAAAACACCUAAUGAAGCCACCUUAAGAAAAGAUUAGUAAAGUCAUGUUCUAUUGUAUUUAGUUCCUUUUGAAAACUCUAGAUAUGAUUUUCUUUAUCCUGAUAUAAUUUUUGUAACUGUAUCGGUGCUUACAAUGAACAGUCUAGAGGGAAAAUUAUUGUCAGGUCUAGCCUUUUCCCACUACCUUACAAUUUAAUGCUAUAUCUACUAAUAUCACAGUGUCUUUUCUCUGUCUUUAUAGAAAUCUCGUACAGGAGCAUUGACAAAAAAAAUGUCAGAUCCGGAUCGGAUCUAAAGAUUUUGACAUAGCGGUCACAUGUUUUACAAUGCAUUGUUAUAGAAUGCUUAUUAAAAAAACGUUAACAUAGAUACUAUAUUGGUGAAAGUGGUUGAGCAAACAUUUUGUUGUUUUGGUUUUUUUCUUCCU